UAAGUAGAUAGUGAAAGCGUGGGGCUCAACCUCAUAUACAUUAUCUAAACUGCAAAGCUAGAGGGCGAGAGAGGUAACUAGAAUUCCUUGUGUAGGAGUGAAAUCCGUAGAUAUAAGGAGGAAUACCGAUGGCGUAGGCAGGUUACUGGCUCGUCCCUGACACUAAGGCACGAAAGCGUGGGGAGCAAACGGGAUUAGAUACCCCGGUAGUCCACGCCGUAAACGAUGGAUGCUA
rnacentral:rRNA from 1 species